rnacentral:ncRNA from 1 species
UUCGGGGGUGCCGGGACAAGGCCGGCUGAGAUUGUAUUCCUUAUAAUACUGACCCUUUGACCUGAUCUGGAUAAUGCCAGCGUAGGGAGCCA